rnacentral:rRNA from 1 species
UACGAAGGGUGCAAGCGUUAAUCGGAAUUACUGGGCGUAAAGCGUGCGUAGGCGGUUUGUUAAGUCUGUUGUGAAAUCCCCGGGCUCAACCUGGGAAUGGCAAUGGAUACUGGCAAGCUAGAGUGUGUCAGAGGAUGGUGGAAUUCCCGGUGUAGCGGUGAAAUGCGUAGAGAUCGGGAGGAACAUCAGUGGCGAAGGCGGUUGCCUGGAGUUUUGCUGACGCUGAGGCGCGAAAGCGUGGGGAGCGAUCCGG